UUUGAAGUCUUUCAGUCAUGUUCAUCUUACGAGGCAGAUGGACAUUAGCUUGGUUGCAAGAGAGAAUCCCAAAGCGUUGUCUCUACUUGAAUAUGCAUCAUUUCUGUCUUCAAGAGACAUUCCAGAGAAGCUUGUUCGUCCUCUUGUGUUUAGUGAAUGUGCCAAUUAUAAAUACAGUUUCUGUGUCUCAACUUUGUCUUCACACAAUUUAGUUGAAUGGCACGAGACAGCAGAAGGUUACACUUUGAAUAUUCAUUCAUUGGUGCAGUCAACAGUGAUGGAACGUGUCAAGCAGCAAACAGAUGAGAUGGAACGUAAACUAAUUGAUGUUUGCAAAAAUAUGCUGUCCUAGCUACCGCACAGUACAAUGGACUUAAAUUGUCUUCCAAGUGAUGUACGGCUUCAACUUGCUUCUCACUCGUAUUCAUUGGCUAAGCAUGUCUUGCUAGAAUCUACCAAGUUGCUUGGAUUUGGUUAGGUAUACAUGUCCUACAUUUAUGCUGUUCCAGUCUCUUGCCAUAUCAUGUUAUUUGUGUGAAUAAUGGUGUCGCAAAGUGAUGCAGUUGCACAGUUUGCCACAUGAGGUCAAAUGCAUUUGACUCAUAGAAGCAAGUAAUUUUUUGAGUGUGGCAUAUUUUCGCAAGCUGAAAAUAAAAGAAGCAUUAGAUUUGAGUCUGAAUAGCAAGAAGAUGAUUGAUGAGUUAAAACCAGAUGAGCAGAAUGAAAUAUAUCAACAUCAUGAAGACGCAUUGGAGAACAUCUGUGAUUGCUAUCACAUGCUAGCUAAACAAAUUUGAAGAAGAGUUUUAUCUGAAAGAGCAGAUGCUGCUGAUGAAAACUUCUGAAAAACAACUUGGAGCUCAAUUUGCUUUAAUUAAAUGCAAAGUGGCAGAGGCCUAUGUAAAGAGGGGUGAACGUACGAGACAAAGCAAUAAAAUUAUGCCAACAAGUUAUGGAAAAGUUAAAUGACAUGGAGGAACAUGAUCAGAUCAAAGUGACGACAGUAUUAUCAAAAUGUUUGAUAUACAUGGGAGAAUCUGAAAAAGCAGAUGAUUUAUUGGAUAGGUCUUGGAAAUUGCUUUCCAGAGUUGACCCUCACAAUUUCUUCGUGACCGUGUUGCAAUCAUGAGGCUCAAGUGUGAUCGUGAGAUUGAAAGUCCUAAUGGAUCAAAAGACAAGCUUAUUGAAGCAUUGGAAAUAGCUAAGUCAGCUUUGCCUAUAUUGCUCAGUCUUUCCUACCGUCAGAAAGUUUAGAGAUUUUCUAUUGUAAACUGCAAAUUGCUAAAUGUACAGGAAAUUAGGAAACAUGGAAACGUGCAUUGAACAACUGAAAGAGAUGAGGAAAGUUGAGGAGGCAAACCUGCCUGAUUGACAUUCUAAACUAUGUCUAGUAAUAGAAGAAUUAGGAGACAUACAUGUGAAAGGAGAUGAUCAAGGUGAAGCUCUGACGUAGUAUAAAGAAGCAUUAGAGCUGUACCACAGGAGGACACUACUUAUUAUCAUGUGAAAAUUGCUAAUAGUGUGCUCUCAUGUCAAUUGGUGCAAUGUAUUAUGAUGCUUUGAAGCAUUUUGAACAGUCUAUAGAAAUUAGAGAACAGAAGCAGUUACCGCCUUGUCGUGAAGCUGGUCUAUGUAUGCAGUAAAAUGCGUAUUAAGUGUUUAUUAGAUCUGCAGUGUGUGUUUGCAAUCCGAUAAUUAUAUACUGUGCACUGCUAGGUUAGGCAUUUCUUGGGAAUUGUUAUGAAGUGAUAGUAGAAAGAAAGACAAUGUUUGAACAAAUGUUACAAGAAAUCCAUAAACUACGAAGAGCACAUACUAAAUCUCUCAACAUACUGUUACUUUAUUCAAAUUGUAAUGAAGUAAUAUUUGUCGGUGCACGAGAUUUUUCACUUGCUUUGCAGUACAUAGUAACUUUACUGAUUACAUGCAGUGUUGAGGCACCUUGCUACUUCCUAUGACAUGAAAAUUGAUGAGCAGACUCUAUAUGAGAAGGCCACUAUGCUAAAACUAAUAGCAAGGGAAGCAUAUACUUGGAGAGAUUAUGCCAGAGCUAAAGAUUUGUUCUAAAUGCAAAUCAAAGUUGAAGCUGCUACAAUGG